AACGAACGCUGGCGGCAUGCCUAACACAUGCAAGUCGAACGAGACCUUCGGGUCUAGUGGCGCGCGGGUGCGUAACGCGUGGGAACCUGCCCUUAGGUUCGGAAUAACUCCCCGAAAGGGGUGCUAAUACCGGAUAAUGUCUUCGGACCAAAGAUUUAUCGCCUUUGGAUGGGCCCGCGUUGGAUUAGCUAGUUGGUAGGGUAAAAGCCUACCAAGGCGACGAUCCAUAGCUGGUCUGAGAGGAUGAUCAGCCACACUGGGACUGAGACACGGCCCAGACUCCUACGGGAAGCAGCAGCGGGGAAUAUUGGACAAUGGGCGAAAGCCUGAUCCAGCAAUGCCGCGUGAGUGAUGAAGGCCUUAGGGUUGUAAAGCUCUUUUACCCGGGAUGAUAAUGACAGUACCGGGAGAAUAAGCUCCGGCUAACUCCGUG
rnacentral:rRNA from 1 species